CGGGGCGGCUCUCGCGAGAGCGGCGCGGGGCGGCGGCGGCGGAGCCAUGUUGCGGGCGGUCGCGGCGCGGGGCGCGCGGCGGGCGACAUCACUGCUCCAGCGGUUUCAGAGUACGUUGGUCAUAGCAGAACACAACAAUGAGACUCUAACACCCGUUACACUAAAUGCCAUCACUGCGGCAAAACGUCUUGGAGGUGAAGUUUCUUGUUUGGUAGCUGGUACCAGCUGUGACAAGGUAGCGCAAGAACUCAGCAAGGUGCAGGGUGUUGCAAAAGUUCUUGUGGCUCAGCACGAUGUAUACAAGGGAUUUCUAGCAGAGGAGCUGACUCCCUUGGUUUUGGCAACUCAGAAGCAAUUUAAUUACACCCAUAUUUGCGCUGGAGCAUCUGCCUUUGGGAAGAAUCUUAUUCCCAGAGUGGCUGCUAAACUUGAUGUUGCCCCUAUUUCUGACAUCAUUGAGAUUAAGUCACCAGACACAUUUGUGAGAACGAUUUAUGCAGGAAAUGUCAUUUGCACCGUCCAAUGCGAUGAAGCGGUUAAAGUGUUUUCUGUACGUGGAACUUCUUUUGAGGCUGCACCAACAAGUGGUGGUAGUGCCAGUGUAGAAAAAGUAACCCCUCCACCACCUGUUGGUCUAUCUGAAUGGAUUGAGCAGAAGUUGACCAAAAGCGAUCGACCAGAGCUUACCAGUGCAAAAGUAGUUGUAUCAGGUGGAAGAGGCUUAAAGAGCGGUGAAAAUUUCAAAUUGCUGUAUGAUCUUGCGGAUCAAUUGCAUGCUGCAGUUGGAGCUUCCCGUGCAGCUGUUGAUGCUGGCUUUGUUCCUAAUGAUCUGCAAGUUGGACAGACGGGCAAAAUAGUAGCACCAGAACUUUAUAUUGCCGUGGGAAUAUCUGGAGCAAUCCAACACUUGGCUGGGAUGAAAGACAGCAAGGUAUAUAAAGUUGGAUGUGGUAGAAGAGAUUCUUGAGGAAGGAAAAGAGUUGACUUCUUUGUUUUUCAUCAGUAAUUUAACAAGCUUUCCAAUUCAUUCCGUGACCAUCGUUGCUAUUAACAAGGACCCAGAAGCUCCAAUUUUUCAAGUGGCAGACUAUGGACUGGUGGCAGACUUAUUUCAGGCAGUGCCCGAGAUGACGGAGCUCCUGAAGAAGAAGUGAGCAACACCGCUGGCCCCUGCACUGCGUUUUGCGGGAGGAAAUGACAAAGAAAGAAAAAAGAGUACUGGAAAGCGCUGGUGUCAGCAUAUGUUUUUGCUGGGCAGUGUGGGUUGGUGGGACAGGUGGUAAGAAGGAAUAAUAACAAAUAAAGGAUUGUAGGGUAA